GUCACUGAGUUGGGCAGGGAGACCAAAACUAAUUUAAUAUAACUCAUUUUUCACUAGAGUGUCCAAUGUUAUUUUUCAUCUAUGGUAUGAAAUCUGAAAGAGCUAGGGUCCUAUGAAACCAUGAAAGUAUCAACUCCCAUUACCCAGCUGUGUUGUAAUCAUCACCUGGGCACCCAUACCUUGGCCUAAUUUUGCUUCGGAAUAAAUGUCUUUGUGGCAUUACAAAAUGUAACUCUGAGCCCAUUUUCUUUUUCAAUGGAGGCAUUUUAAUUUAUGGUUAUAUACUGAAAGUGACUGUGUAAUAUUUUAUUAAUAUACCAAUAAUGUCUAACAAAUGGUAUGUAAGAAACCAUGUCAAUCUUGUACAUGGCUGUAUCCUCCAUAGUGAUACAGCCUAUGGCACAUACAGUGAGUAUUUUAUAAGUGUUUGUGGAAUAACUUAAUGGAUUAAGUGGUGUUUCUUGCAUGACCACAAUAAAUUUUUUUAUGAGAACAUGGAUUAAAAAUUCCACAAAACUUAUAAGGUAAAAUGUAUAACUUAACAUACUCAGAAAUUAGGACUUUUCGUUUUAAAUACAAAUGAAAAAUGUUAAAUUAUUACAUAUGGUAUAUCUUUUAAUUAUGUUUGGGCAUUUCUUUCCAAAAGAGUUAUAGCAUAUGCCUUAGUUAAAUACCAAGGACAUUUUAAAUGUUAAAAAUAUGAAUUAAAGAAUUAGAAUUACCAUCCAGAUAUAUAAUACACUUUAAUAUAGUGUCAUCAUUUCAGUUUGUAUUCUACUAAUUAAUAGAUUUGCAUUUGAAAUGUUUAAUAAUGAUUCUAUAGAAUGUUUAUUGUGUUUUUGAGAAUUCUCAGAUGUUUAUUUGUAGGCAGAACCACAUGCUGUAUUUUGAUUAGCUUUAGUAUAUUGUUUGACUUCAGUAAAUAUUAUUUCUAAAAGUAUUUGACUUUCUUGCUUUCCCCCAAAGGAUCUGGAAAUGGACAGACUUGCCACAUACACCGAAGGAGUUUAAUUGUUGAACAGCAACCUUAAUGUUGACUUUUAUGUCUGCUUGUAGGCAAAACAACAAUCACCACAUUUCAUAUUUCUGAAAUUCACCAUUCUUCAUCUGCCGUAUGCUAUGUACAAAACUUGACCCCUGUUUUAUUAUAGAAACUCUGUCUCUUGGGUGGCAAUCAGUGAUUUUAUGUAAUUUGCCUUUACUCCAUAUUCUCACUCUGGAAUUUGUCUUCUUGGCCUGAGUUUCUGCUGGAAAUUUGCUAGUAAUGUGCAUUGGUUUUCUGAAGAAUGAAGAAAGAGGAUUCUCCUUUCUGGAGACCACAUCUAUUACUAUUAGUAAUAACAAUCCUUGCUUUUAGUAGUAACAAUCCUUCUGCUGCGUUGCUAACAAACUCUACAUAAAUCAGAGAUUGCAAGGUCAAGAUGUUCAGCAGCCCACAUCUCUUCUCUGAUUAGUUUUCCUCCCUGUACUAAGUCUCUGAUCUGCCUUGCAUUUGUGGGCAAAGCACAGUGAAGAAGCAUCUUGUUCUACCAGUGCUCUGCAGGCUGUCUUAGGAGUGAGAAUGGGGUGCAGUCCCUAAGACCCAGACCCAAGAACUUAAAAAGUGCCCUAAAGUGAAAGCCAAGCAAAACAGUAUGGUAAAAAUAGGAAGAGGAAAAAAAGUGCUAAUUGAAGGACAUGGUGAUACAUGUUCAUUUUUAAAGAGGAAUUUUUAAAUUGUACAAAUAAUGCAAAACAAAUAUUCUUCUAAAACAACCAGGCUGGAUGCAUACUUGGAGAACUGUGCUCUCUCCUUUUUGCCCAUAUCAUUACAGAUGAGGACAUGAUGUCCGAAGAGGUUUGUUUUCAUUAAUUGUUUUCCUGCCCUUUCUGAGAAGAGUCUUAAUUGUAAUUCUGAGUUUUAUACAUUAGGCUGUAGAACAUUUCUUUAGAAAUAAGUAGCAUGAGGGUGAGGGAAAAGCAGAAGUAGGAGAAAAGCAUUAAAUAAAAACAAUAUGCAGAGAGCUAAAAAUUGGAGGUUUUAUAGAAAAUGAUAAGAAAAGUCAUGAAAGUACAUUUACAAAUGAUGAGACAGUGGAAGAGGAAAAGUUAAGAUAUUGUUUUUGUCUCUCUUAAUUUAAGAGACAGUCUUAACCUAAGGCAAACACUUCAGUGCUGAAAAGCACAACCAAUUAUCUUUUUUACUGAAGUGAUUUCCAUCUGAAAGGGAUGGAAAUUAGAAAAUGAAAAGAUGAAAAAAGAGACUACCUUGGGAAUAUUGUGCCAGAAUGCAGGUAUUCAACUCUCUAGUUUAGCAAAUCUGACGGGGAGCCACCAUCUGGUAACUACAAUGAUGGAAAGCAUUCCUCUUUACUAAGAGUAGUAUGUGAACUUUAAAAAAGAGCUUUCAUACUUUAUAAAGACCCGAGUGUAUCCAUUACAUAGUCAUUUUCUUGUUGAGAGACAAAUGGUCUUGAUCUAAAGGGACCCCUUCAGAUAUUUAAAAUAUGUGAUAUUUUGUGAUAGUAUGCAAAGCAUUCAUGAUAAAACAUGCUAAUAGUUUGCAGUUGUACUCUUAAGGGCUAUGAUGUUAUUCUAUAACUAAGAAUACACAUUUAUAAAUAAAACCAAAUAUUACUCAAAACUAAAUAGACACAGAUACACUGCUUUUGUAAUAACUGUGUACAUAUUUAUACACUUGAACUUACCCUCUUCUUUUGGAGCAAUAUUUAGAUAAAAAAAUAAAUAGAAGAAAAUUAUGCCCAUAAAUUUCUCCAAACCCAGCUCAGAACACAUCAGGGCACUCAAGCUUUGAAAUUUUGUUAAAGCUAUUGAAGAUGUGUAAACUGUAAUUGAGUACACUUUCUUGUUUUUGCAGCAGGAAGCAUUUUAUGCCAUUUAAGCUACUCUUACCCAGUUUAAAGCAUUCUAUAAAUAAGCAAUUACAUAGAGGGAACCUGUAUAUUUAUCCUAACAAUGUGCAAGAACUGUGGACUAUCAAAUGCAAAUUUAAUGAGAAGUUGAUGAAGCAUUACAGACAUAUAUGUGUCUAUAGUACCCAUAUACUUAUGGGUCCUGGCUGCUCUUUACAGUGGAACCUUCAAGUUCUCACAAUUGCAAGUCUGAGAACUGCUCUAGACUUACUACCUCAUCAUCUCAAGAAAACUAACCUCAAAAUAUUUAUUUAGAAUGCAUCUUAUUACUGAUAUAAAGUCCAGUCAGUGUUAAAAACCACUGGUAAAUAUACUGUUCUUUGUAAGAAUAAAAAUUUAUAGCUAAAAGGAACUUAACAUUUACUCACUUCAAUCUGUACAUCAAUAGUGAACUCAAAUACAUUUUACUCUGGUUUUUAUUAGUGUAUGUAAUAAAAUGAAUAUGAAUAUAUGAAUAUAUAUAAACAUGAGUUAAAUUUGGUUAUGUAUGUAUAUAUUCAUGUACAUAUACACAUUCAUAUGAGUGCACAUACUUAUAGAUACAUACUCACUCACUAGGAAGCAAAUAUAAAUAUGAUAUUUUAUCGUACUAAUAAUUUUUUGUCUACUAUACAUAACUAACCAAAGAUAAAGGCAAUAUUAUGUGUUAAGUGCUGGUGUAAUGCAAAAGAAGAAAUUAUUAAUUCCUGACAGAACAAGGAUUUUAUUUCUUUGAUCUGGGUUUUAAAGGAGGAAAGGAGUUUCUGACUUGGAAGAGACGGGGCAGAUGAGGGAAUAAAAAUUAAGAGAAUAGAGUGUGCAAAGUAACUUAAGUAAGUACUUCAUUCACCAGAUCGGUGCAAUGAGGAUCAUAUGUGGAAAAGGAAAUUUAUCUAUCGAUAAACUGAUUUGCAUAUUUAUUCUUUCUUUCAUUCACAAAGGCUGAAUGCUGAAGCUGUAUUGGUCCCUGUCAGAAGGGUAUCAAAUCACAAAAAAUUAAGGAGGAACAGCAAGUGAGAAGGGAAAUUGCUACAUUGUUAAAUAUUUUGUUACCUAUUUUUAAAAUCUACAUUAUAUUCUUAAAAUAAUUCUUCUUCUUUGUAAGUUAUAGAAUAUGUUCAAAGUUAUGGGAAGAUUUUUUUUAAGACAAUUUCUAAGGAACAAUAGAAGUAACAAAUUUGUAUUAAAACAAUGCACUUAGAAAAGUUUAUAAUAUCAUUUAUUUUUUCCAUGGAAAUUUGUAGCACUUUUUAAAUUUUUACUCACGUUUUGAUAAUUUUUUUCUUACUGCUUACAUUUAUGCUUAGGUAGUUAUUGUUAUUGAUACUAAAAGAAUACUUAUUUGCUAACCCUAUUGGAUAUUAAAGAACUCAAGUUGAAAUCAUCAAACUGGAAAUGAGUCAUUAGUUCAGUUCUUUUUCAUCUGGGGUAGAUGAGAGUGUAUUUCAUUUUGAAAAAUUUUUUGGAAAUGUAUUGCAUGGUUUAUUUUUGUUUGUUUUGCUUGUUUUAUUUUGGCGUGUCUGUCUUUACUCCAAUCCAUAAUGUAUUAUUCUUAACAUUUCAACCCUGUCUUUGUCACUUGUUUACUAAAAAACCUCAGGUGUUCUCUGAAGCUCAGAGAUGAAAGUCAAAAUAACAUUGAGGGCAUAAUUUCACUACUUGCUCUGGCAGUAACUGCCUUCUUGUUGCUUGUACUCAUGAUCCAGUUUCCCAUUUUUGCGCCUCCUGCUGUCUGUCCCUGACCACUAGCACCCUGUCAUGAGCAUUUAUUCCUCUCUGCUUCACUCUCAAGACUGAACAUGCUUUUUCCUAAAUUUUAACUAUUUAAACUCAUUAAUAUCUUUCCCUGCUCUCAACACAACUUAAUCUUUUUCUUUGCUUCUGCUAUGGACCUUUUCUCUAUGUAUACCUUCAUACUCACAUACUUAUUUAUUUUCUUAUUGGAAUGGAGUGUAUACUUCAGUUGAUGAUGGUAGACUUUAUGUUAGUCAUUAUUCUUUUUAUAUAUCACCUAAAAAGGACUUUUCAGAUGUAAUUGUACCUUGGUAUUUCUUGAUGUAUGAAUUUGAUCCCCCCCACCUCCCCAGUUUAGCAGUUUUCCAACUGUGCUUUGAUUUCUCUUUGCUAGGGAAGAUAGGCUCUUUAAUCUGUUUCUUCUCUGCACUUUUACAUGGUGAACAACAAAUUUUGCUUCCUUUGUAUAUUAUGUUCUAGGACAUCUUUAGUUACUCACUUCAUGGUUAAUACUCUUCAAUAAAAUGUUGUCAUUAAUUACAAAUUACCCAAAUUCCUUGAGCUAAAGUUCUGGUUUCUUUUUAUCCUUUAUUC
rnacentral:lncRNA from 1 species